rnacentral:misc_RNA from 1 species
ACUUAUGAGCUGAAGCUAUCAACGGUACGACAAUCUUUAAAUUUUCCUGAACUAACUUUUUGUUCUAUUAUUACCAUACCAUGUACUUUGUGCAGAUGUGAAACAAUUUUGGGAACUUGGUAUAAUACUCAAUAUAUCAAACCCUGUCAAGAAAGCAAGAUUUUGUAUAUACUUGUAAUGAAACUCAAAUACCUUAGUAUUGACAUUAUUC